UUUUCAGUAUAAAUAUGUCCCAUGCAAAAUUUGGAACAUACUUUCGCUAAAA
rnacentral:pre_miRNA from 1 species